UAUUGUUGGAAGUAAGAGGUUUUAUAAAUAUUGUUGGAAGUAAGAAGUUUUAUAAAUAUUGUUGGAAGUAAGAGGUUUUAUAAAUAUUGUUGGAAGUAAGAGGUUUUAUAAAUAUUGUUGGAAGUUUCUCUUUUGUGAAGGAUGAUUCUGUUUGCUGUAUUGCAUUUCCUUCAAACUGUGCACACGAAUCUGGAAAGGUAAGUAUAACGCAUUCAGGGUGAUUAGUUUUAGUAAUCAUUGUUUCAGUACUAUGUUGUUGGGAGCUACAUGUUUGGACAUGUAUCAUAGGAAGAUUUGUAAACCACUUUCCAGAUGACCAUACAUCGUUUUUCAUAGCUGACAUUCGAGGUUAAUGCUGAACAAUGCUUGCAGAUUGUAUAAUAAAAUUGUGUUUCUGGUAGACAACACAAUGUUUACAUACAUUUUUAGGUGCGUAUAUAGACAGUGGGUUAAAAGUGAUUGUACAGUUGUUUAAUUUCUAACUGUUACUCUGAAACAAACAAUAAUUAAUAGUUUUAUGUAAUAUUUUCUUUAGUAACACCUGUGCAGUACCUUUUCACCCAUUCUGUAUAUAUAUAUAUAUAUAUAUAUUCAUGUAUUGAUGGUGUGGCUCUGUUUAAAGGCAUCAUGUUACAAGUUGAAAUUCGUAAGUUGGUGUGUUGAAAUAAUCCAGUCACUAAUUACAGUUCCCCUUAAACCAGUAUUUCCCAAAGUUUGGAUUUCAACUUUCAAAAGGAUCUCAAUGGGACUGCAACGAUAUAAGAUAUUAAUUACAAAUCCACUAAAUCCCUCUUACAUCACGUGAUCGUUUUAACGAAGACUGACAAAAAAAAAUGGUCAUGAUAAAAAAAAAACAAAUUUUUAGGAAGUCCUGGUUUAAACAACAUACACAGAGAAUGUGGUGACAUUUGGUUUUAAAAGACUAAAAAAACGAACUCUUCAAACAGAAUGUUUUAAUAUGUUGUCUUAAUCUGUUUUUCUCUUUACAAACCUUAUUUAGGUUUGACAACAGCAUACCUUUGUGACACUUUCUGGGCUUUAAGUGUCGCGAUACUCUUACCUUACCGUACAAUAAACGGAAACAUGGGACGACAGUUGAGUCGGAGAAUACCACUACCGAGGGACCGUUCUUAGACAAAGAGCUGACUGAAUUCAGUAUUUCAUGGUACUAUGUGUGUGACUAGAUUAAACAGACAGAAAGACCACAUUUAAGUUUCACGUGUUGUCUCGCCUAGUUUAGGCUCCACUACAGGGAACUGGCAUCUCUUCUAGUUUUUUUAUGAUAAUAGCCGAA